rnacentral:rRNA from 1 species
CUUGAAGCAAGAGUGACGGGCGAUUUGUGCAUAUAACAUUUCUUAUUCUAAUUCUAUUUCUUUUUUAAUUUUAAUUUUAAGUUCUAUUUUCUAGAUAUUCUUUUUUAUUCCAUAAUUUUUAAAAAUUUUGUGUCCCAUUAUCCUUCUUUUUAAUAAUUUCUGUCUUGAUUUGUUUUGUUUAAACUUUUUAAUUAAAAUAAAUUUUUUUCAUUUUAUUUUAAAACAAUGAUAUAGAAAAUUAUAUAAAAAGUUCUUGUUGAUCGUGGGUUAUCUAUUAUAAAACAGGACCCCCUAUUAAGUUAUUAUACCGCCAUCUUAUUUAGAUUUAAAUUAUUUAUUUACUAUCUUUUGUUUAACUAAAA